AGUGAACGCUGGCGGUAGGCCUAACACAUGCAAGUCGAACGGCAGCACAGUAAGAGCUUGCUCUUACGGGUGGCGAGUGGCGGACGGGUGAGGAAUACAUCGGAAUCUACUUUUUCGUGGGGGAUAACGUAGGGAAACUUACGCUAAUACCGCAUACGACCUACGGGUGAAAGCAGGGGAUCUUCGGACCUUGCGCGAUUGAAUGAGCCGAUGUCGGAUUAGCUAGUUGGCGGGGUAAAGGCCCACCAAGGCGACGAUCCGUAGCUGGUCUGAGAGGAUGAUCAGCCACACUGGAACUGAGACACGGUCCAGACUCCUACGGGAGGCAGCGGUGGGAAAUAUUGGACAAUGGGCGCAAGCCUGAUCCAGCCAUACCGCGUGGGUGAAGAAGGCCUUCGGGUUGUAAAGCCCUUUUGUUGGGAAGGAAAAGCAGCAGGUUAAUACCCCGCUGUUCUGACGGUACCCAAAGAAUAAGCACCGGCUAACUUCGU
rnacentral:rRNA from 1 species